CGUUGGCCCGUUAUCCGGGUUGCGGACAGUGUCUGGUGGGUAGUUUGACUGGGGCGGUCUCCUCCUAAAGAGUAACGGAGGAGCACGAAGGUUGGCUAAUCCUGGUCGGACAUCAGGAGGUUAGUGCAAUGGCAUAAGCCAGCUUGACUGCGAGCGUGACGGCGCGAGCAGGUGCGAAAGCAGGUCAUAGUGAUCCGGUGGUUCUGAAUGGAAGGGCCAUCGCUCAACGGAUAAAAGGUACUCCGGGGAUAACAGGCUGAUACCGCCCAAGAGUUCAUAUCGACGGCGGUGUUUGGCACCUCGAUGUCGGCUCAUCACAUCCUGGGGCUGAAGUAGGUCCCAAGGGUAUGGCUGUUCGCCAUUUAAAGUGGUACGCGAGCUGGGUUUAGAACGUCGUGAGACAGUUCGGUCCCUAUCUGCCGUGGGCGCUGGAGAACUGAGGGGGGCUGCUCCUAGUACGAGAGGACCGGAGUGGACGCAUCACUGGUGUUCGGGUUGUCAUGCCAAUGGCACUGCCCGGUAGCUAAAUGCGGAAGAGAUAAGUGCUGAAAGCAUCUAAGCACGAAACUUGCCCCGAGAUGAGUUCUCCCUGACUCCUUGAGAGUCCUGAAGGAACGUUGAAGACGACGACGUUGAUAGGCCGGGUGUGUAAGCGCAGCGAUGCGUUGAGCUAACCGGUACUAAUGAACCGUGAG
rnacentral:rRNA from 1 species